AUUACCUGUGUGUCGUCAAAUAAUUCAGAAAUUCUUCCCCUACUGAAGGAUUUGCACAUGUCUCUGUCUCCACAGCGCCAUCACAAGCCCCUACUGGCAUUUGAUAACUUUAUUUCAUUCUUAAGUUUAAAAGUAGGAGUAAAUUUCAUGAAUUCUCAGCACUUAAGACUCAAAUGGCACUUUGAGAAGCUUGAUGAAUACCGGCUAACAUCAAAGGUGGAAACUGCAUGCAGCAGUGUGAGAGACAGAGGUUCAGUGCCCCAAUGUGACCCAUCCACCAAUGUGUCCCUGACCAAGACAUGUACCCCAUGUUGCUCCAGAGGCGUGCGACCUCUGACAUAUACAGCAAUUGUAAGUCGCUUUGGAUAAAAAGCGUCAGCUAAAUGUGAAUGUAUGUAUUUCAUUUUCAGAAGCAGGAAUCUGUUACCUUAAAAGUGAUGCAAUUUCUUUCUUGCUCUCUGUGGUCAUGCAGAAAUAUUGUAUUUUUUUCAUUUAUUAAUAGAGGUUCUCACAUGUUAUUUAUAUGUUUUUAUUCUCACCUGUGGACUACAACAUAUUCGCCUGUGACUUGUUGUUCGGUUUGCUUUGUGUUUUUCUUUUUCAUCUUUGUGUGACAGCAGCAGGACACAAACGUUCAGGGGCGAAAUAGAUGGACUGCAGAUGGUCAGUUUCUGUAUCAGCAGCAGCUGAGAUGUUUCCAGUGGUGUGACCUGCAGAGCAGAAACAGGUGUGAGGUAUCAGCUGUCAGCAGCUCAACUACCAGGAAGCAGCUUCACCUGAGAGACAAAGACACACUCUGAGCUCUACACGCUCACCUGAGAGACAAAGAGACACUCUGAGCUCUACACGCUCACCUGAGAGAC